rnacentral:piRNA from 1 species
UCCUCACUCCAGGCAUCUGACAGAGCCAGU